UACGGGGGGGGCAAGCGUUGUUCGGAAUUACUGGGCGUAAAGGGCUCGUAGGUGGCCAACUAAGUCAGACGUGAAAUCCCUCGGCUUAACCGGGGAACUGCGUCUGAUACUGGAUGGCUUGAGUUCGGGAGAGGGAUGCGGAAUUCCAGGUGUAGCGGUGAAAUGCGCAGAUAUCUGGAGGAACACCGGUGGCGAAGGCGGCAUCCUGGACCGGCACUGACACUGAGGAGCGAAAGCCAGGGGAGCAAACGGG
rnacentral:rRNA from 1 species